CGUAAAACUUCCUGUUCUCACGGUUCACCCAUUUGUUAUGAAAACUCUUUUCAAAAAAGGUGCUUAACUUGAACAAUGGAAAAAAUAUUUAAAUAAAUAAAUAAACAUCUUUGUAAAACCUAUAUAAUGCUCGUUCCACUCAAAAUCUAAAAACUAAUGAAUAUGCUAGAAAUGAGUCCAGAAAUGGACAGUAUAAGUUUUAUUUCCAAGUU